rnacentral:lncRNA from 1 species
AUGGCAGCAAAGCUGGCUCUGCAGAUCGUUCUCAAGCAGAUGACAGUUCUGAGGGAAACCAGCCUGAUACUGAGCUCUCCGAGCUGGACAAGACUGCUGCUGAUAGAGAGGCAGGAAAUCCUCUGGCACAGCUGCAGAGCUAUCGCCCGUACUUCCGAGAGCUGGACCUCGAGGUGUUCACCGUGCUGCACUGUGGGCUGCUCACAAAGUCUGUCCUGGACACAGAGAUGCACACAGAGGCUUGUGAAGUUGUGCAGCUGGGGCCUGCUGAGCUUUGCUUCCUUCUGGAUGACCUGUGCUGGAAGCUGGAACAUGUGCUGCCCUCGGGCUCCACAAGGAGGGUGCCCUUUCCAAAGGCAAGAACAGCAGCACAUCAGGGGCCUCCAGGGCUUUCCCGAGAAAUGUUUUUCAGAAUUAUUUUCAUUUGGUAGUUGAAUGGAAGUGUGACACCCAGCUCUGUGCUAGAGCAGCCCUUGCUCUUUCAAAAGAGACUUGUGUACACUGCUUUUGCUG